rnacentral:rRNA from 1 species
UGUAGUCAUAUGCUUGUCUCAAAGAUUAAGCCAUGCAUGUCUAAGUAUAGACAAAUUCAUACUGUGAAACUGCGAAUGGCUCAUUAAAUCAGUUAUAGUUUAUUUGAUGGUAUCUUACUACAUGGAUAACUGUGGUAAUUCUAGAGCUAAUACAUGCUUAAAAGCCCCGACUUCUGGAAGGGGUGUAUUUAUUAGAUAAAAAACCAAUGGGUGCAAGCCCUUCUUGGUGAUUCAUAAUAACUUCUCGAAUCGCAUGGCCUUGCGCCGGCGAUGCUUCAUUCAAAUAUCUGCCCUAUCAACUUUCGAUGGUAGGAUAGA